GAGGAAUAUUGGUCAAUGGGCGCAAGCCUGAACCAGCCAUGUCGCGUGCAGGAAGACUGCCCUAUGGGUUGUAAACUGCUUUUAUAGUAGAAGAAACACAUCUACGCGUAGAUGUCUGCCAGUAUACUAUGAAUAAGCAUCGGCUAACUCCGUGCCAGCAGCCGCGGUAAUACGGAGGAUGCAAGCGUUAUCCGGAUUUAUUGGGUUUAAAGGGUGCGUAGGCGGGACUGUAAGUCAGGGGUGAAAUACUGCAGCUUAACUGUAGCAUUGCCUUUGAAACUGCCGUUCUUGAGUACAGUUGAGGUAGGCGGAAUGUGGUGUGUAGCGGUGAAAUGCAUAGAUAUACCACAGAACGCCGAUUGCGAAGGCAGCUUACUAAGCUGUUACUGACGCUGAGGCACGAAAGCGUGGGGAUCAAAC
rnacentral:rRNA from 1 species